rnacentral:rRNA from 1 species
GAGUUUGAUCCUGGCUCAGGACGAACGCUGGCGGCGUGCCUAAUACAUGCAAGUCGAGCGGACCGACGGGAGCUUGCUCCUUAGGUCAGCGGCGGACGGGUGAGUAACACGUGGGGUAACCUGCCUGUAAGACUGGGAUAACUCCGGGAAACCGGGGCUAAUACCGGAUGCUUGAUUGAACCGCAUGGUUCAAUCAUAAAAGGUGGCUUUUAGCUACCACUUGCAGAUGGACCCGCGGCGCAUUAGCUAGUUGGUGAGGUAACGGCUCACCAAGGCGACGAUGCGUASSCGACCUGAGAGGGUGAUCSG